GGCCCCGUAGCUCAGCUGGAUAGAGCACCAGAUUCCUAAUCUGGGGGUCGCAGGUUCAAGUCCUGCCGGGGUCGCCA
rnacentral:tRNA from 1 species